UCUCAUUAUGCUUUUCAGCAAAUCAUGACAUUGAAAUGUCCCAUGAAACCCUGAAAACACGCUUGAAUGAAGUAGGCCUGAGGAAACCGGGUGGCUAAUCCUCAACAAGUGAAAUCAGAAGUGCUAUCUUGUCAGAGCUGCGUGGACCUGGGCCCUGUACUACGGAGCAGGAUUUGGGGUUAGCGAGAGCUUGAUGGAGUGAUGGAUGGCUUAAAUCAUUCAAAAACAAAUCUUCAAAUAUUGACCUUCAGCAGUGAUCUGCUGUUGAGCUGUUCAACCAACAGAAGAGGAAGAGGAAAGCCUACUGCUCAGACUUCAGUCAUGUAUGCUGUCAUCACUGGAGAGAUGAGAGAGUAAAGAACAACAGCUCAAACAGACAUUCAGCUGGCUACCUGCUCAACCAACGCACAAACAGACAAGUAUGAAGACCCGUCUGAUCCGGAUGAAGACAGUCACACGCUGAGAGAUGAACGCAAACAACACGCACACUCACAGGGCGCGUGGACGUGUCCUGCGCGCUCAAGUAGUACAAAGAGACGCGCCUACAGCAACAAGGAGGAGGCAGAAGCUCCGUUUCCAGUCUCAGGGACGUCAGUGGACCUGACCUGGACACACCUUGACCUGGACACACCCUGAGUCCCCGAGGAAGUCACGAGGCCUGUUUACGCGCUUGGAGUUUCAGUUGUUCAGCAUGCUCUCACUAAAAGUAACACGUUUAUUUUUA